UGUUUUAUAAAAUACUUUACCUGCGGCCCGCCUUUAGAUUGUUUUGCCACCUUGUGGCCCUUGCCUGCCAAAAGGUUGCCGACCGCUGGUGUAAUU